GGCGUUCCAGUCGAGGCGACAGAGCGGCGCCUCGCGUCGCCUGGCGCGUCGCCUGGGCGCCUGGCUCGCCUUUAAUAACACUGUUUAGUGCUGAUUCCUUCUACAGCUGUUACAGUUGCUGAUGGUAGAAAAUUGAGAUGUGAACACAUGAGCCAAAAUUUUAAAUGGGAAAUGCAGGAAUUGGAGUUUGCAUUUGAUUUUAGAAUUUUAGAGUUAGGGGGAUUUGACAUGAUUCUAGGGGUGGAUUGGUUGAGAAAUCAUAAUCCUGUUUUGUUUGAUUUUGAGACUUCUGAAAUUGCUAUUACAAGGAAUGGAGGUACAGUGUCACCGAAAGGAAUUGGUUAAGGAUCUUUACAGUCUAGAUUAUGGCAAUUUGAGAAUAUUUUUUGCAGAAAAGGAGUGGAUUUUCAAACUCCUCUAUUUUGCAUUAUGAGUUCCAACUUGUCCGAAACUUGUUUAAAUGCUGUAUCUUCUGGUCCUGAGAAUGACAAAGGGUUGCAGCAGCUGUUACAACAGUAUAACAGUAUUUUUGAGGAACCUCAAGGAUUGCCUCCAUUCAAAACUCACAAUCAUGCCACUCAAUUUAUACUGCCCAACCAGUCAAUAUAAGGCCAUACAUGCAUCCAUAUUACCAAAAGGCUGAGAUUGAAAAGUUAGUAGAUGAUAUGAUUCAAUCUUCAAUAAUUCAACCUAGCACUAAUCCAUACUCUGUUCCUGUUCUUUUUAUCAAAAAGAAAGAUGAGACAUGGAGGUUUUGUAUAGAUUACAGGAGGCUUAAUUAUCAACUGUUAAAGACAAAUUCCUUUUCCCCAUUAUCUAAGAUCUGUUGGAUGAAUUAAAUGGGGCCAGAAUUUUUUCCAAGAUAGAUUUGAGGGCUGGUUACCACCAAAUUAGGAUGUUGUCACAGGACAUUCCAAAGACUGCAUUUAGAACUCACCAU
rnacentral:misc_RNA from 1 species